rnacentral:rRNA from 1 species
CUGGGUGGAUGAGUGGCGAACGGGUGAGUAAUACGUGAGUAACCUGCCCUUGACUCUGGGAUAAGCCUGGGAAACUGGGUCUAAUACUGGAUACGACAUGUCACCGCAUGGUGGUGUGUGGAAAGGGUUUUACUGGUUUUGGAUGGGCUCACGGCCUAUCAGCUUGUUGGUGGGGUAAUGGCUCACCAAGGCGACGACGGGUAGCCGGCCUGAGAGGGUGACCGGCCACACUGGGACUGAGACACGGCCCAGACUCCUACGGGAGGCAGCAGUGGGGAAUAUUGCACAAUGGGCGGAAGCCUGAUGCAGCGACGCCGCGUGAGGGAUGACGGCCUUCGGGUUGUAAACCUCUUUCAGCACGGAAGAAGCGAAAGUGACGGUACGUGCAGAAGAAGCGCCGGCUAACUACGUGCCAGCAGCCGCGGUAAUACGUAGGGCGCAAGCGUUGUCCGGAAUUAUUGGGCGUAAAGAGCUCGUAGGCGGUUUGUCGCGUCUGCUGUGAAAGCCCGGGGCUUAACCCCGGGUGUGCAGUGGGUACGGGCAGACUUGAGUGCAGUAGGGGAGACUGGAAUUCCUGGUGUAGCGGUGAAAUGCGCAGAUAUCAGGAGGAACACCGAUGGCGAAGGCAGGUCUCUGGGCUGUUACUGACGCUGAGGAGCGAAAGCAUGGGGAGCGAACAGGAUUAGAUACCCUGGUAGUCCAUGCCGUAAACGUUGGGCACUAGGUGUGGGGAACAUUCC